CGUUUUCCUCGCCCCUUCUCAACUAGCGUCUCCUCCACCUUCUCAACCUCUGCCACUGCUUCUCCACCAUCUCAUUCUCACCCCCUGCUGUUCCACCUGCGCCGGAGACGACAGGCUUCUGUUUUUCUAUCUCCCCACUGGAAACCUGCUAUUGCUUCAGUGCUUCAGCUACCUGCUCAGGUCUAUCUCCCUAUCUCCACUCCAGCAUCGAUUUACAGUUUUAUAAUUUGCUCGUCUUCAGAUGUUCAUGUUUUUAUUCUGACUCUUAGUUAAGUCGUACUAUAAUUUCACCAGCUUUGGAUCUGGUGGUGGAUCUUGAUUUUUUUUCCUACUGGAAGGAGGGUAAAUCCCCGGCCAGGUGGAUCCGGGUAGUUCAUGCAAGUUAACUAACAAAAAUAGUACUAAUACAGGCUCGUUCUUUCCAUCAAUGCCUGAAAUCGUUGGAAAUGGAAACUCCUUGUUAUAGGAUGAUUGUUGAAGUUUCUGCUCCCGUCUGUUUCUUGGCCCUUUUUCUAUUAAAAAAGUUCCCUUCAUUCAGCAGGCUAUUUAAAUGUUCAGGUUCAUCACAAGCACAGAGAAUGGACUUUCAGUACCCGGGUGUCCAGGCACCCCAUUAUCAGCACCGUUCGUCCAUAACUCAGCGUCUGGGGAUCUGUAACACGUACUGUAGCGAGCUUUCGUUUAGCAGGCGUUUCGGUGGCUAAGCGCAGGGCGCUGGACACAUUUCAAAGGAAUCUGGGCCUAGACUGGCACCGUGUCCCAUAGGUUGAUUCCACCUAGCGACCGAGACGUCGAGAUGACAUGUCUGCCUGCUGUAAGCAAAAGGGUUAAACGUGCCCACGAUUCAAAUAGCUGAACAGACGUGUCUCCUUGGAGCUCCCAUCGUCCACAUCUCUAUUCCCCACCCUCUUCCACUUCGCCAACAAACUCUCCGUCCACGUACCCAGCUUAGAUUCUAAUGGAGUUGGUCGAUCCUGGUGGGGAUGAGAUGAUAACAGGAUUCGUCAAGCUACUCCACCUUCAUGACUCGCAGACGGAAGGCAUAGCAAAUCCAGAGUCUUCUUGUGGUAUCGACAUGCUGGCAUCAAUCGCCGCCGCCCGCCGAUCUGGAUUUGGAGCCAAUCUCCAGAUCCGAAGUUGUGGAUGGUAGCACAUCCGAUCCGAUUUGGGGCGACGCGCAAGCAGCCGAUGUACCCAAGUCCGGACAUGGCGAGACGAAUCCUUCUCCAUGGCAGUCAUCCGGAGGUUGGAAAGUUGGAAACGCAGGAACCGAUCCUGGGAUGGGCUUAAGGAGAGGGCAAUGCCAAGCAAGAUGAGCUCUAUUCAAUCAUGUCUGCUGAACUCUGAAGGCAAAAAUGCACCUGACACAUUUGCUCCUGUGGUAGAUAUGGUGGCGUGUUCGGUCUCUCCCCGAAUGGCGUCCCAGGCCGUGGAGAUGUGAACACUGCAGGAACCGGAUUCAUAAUGGACUUGCGGCUAGAGCAACCUCAAGCAAACUGAGCUGGAUUGAAAGAUGUCUCCUAAACUCUAAAGGCAAGCAUGCACCUAACACUUUUAGUCCUGUAGAAGGCAUGUCGUUUGAUUCAUGCCAAGAAGCGUACAAACAGUAAAACCUAUUCGCUUGGGAGAAUGGCUUCGGAAUUCGUCAUGAAAAAUCCAGACGGGGAGAUGGGCGGCGUUACCAGCUGAUACACGAAAUUGUUUGCUAGUGCCAGCAGGUCAGUUACAUAGCGUCAUGCUUGAAGUUUCAGUAGAACUACAUACAUCUUGUUGCCCCAUUUUGUGAUGAGAAAAUUUAAGAUGGUCCAAGUUAUAUGAGCCAUCAAUUUUACCCAAUCCAAUGGGUUGAAUGUGUCUUACCUCUUGGGAGGUAAGAAUCUAUUAAUUCCUUUACAAGGUCAAUAUAGACUUUGCACUUUACAUAAAUAAGGAACUAAAUGAUUACAUCUUAAAGUGAGACAACGAAAGGAAAGAAAUAUCAUUAUACUAAUUACAAUCUAUUUAUCUUGCACUUUUAGCUCUGUUACAUCCUCAUGGAUUGAGCUUUUUUUUUCUUGCCCAUUUUGAUUAAGCGCCAAAAGGUUCGUAAAAUACAUACACACAUGUAAACCAGAUAGCAUAUUUGUGAUGAUCUUUUACUGGAUUUCUCAACCUUUUGCGAUGAACGUUUCUUGAGCUGAUACAAAUAAUAUAUGAUUAUGUAGUGUGAAAAUAAUUUUCUGUAUAGAUGGUUCUUGGAUAAUGACAAUUGUCAUUCUUGAAAGCUAUAGGUCUUUUUUUGGACUUAAAAAAAACUAUACCUUUCAAGACAUAAAAGGUCUCUAUGGAAGAUAAUAGUAUAUGAUAAUGUGAAGUGUGAAAAUAAUUUUCUGUAUACGAUGGUUUUUGGAGAAUAACAAUUAACUAUACCUUUCAAGAAAUAAGAGGUCUCUAUGGAAGAUAAUAUAUGAUAAUGAAAAGUGUGAAAAUAAUUUUCUAUAUACCAUGGUUCUUGGAGAAUGACAAUUAACUAUAGCUUUCAAGAAAUAAGAGGUCUCUAUGAGAGAAUAUAUUUUCUUCUUCGAAAAACAAGUCUGCAUUAUGUGAUCAAUCCGAUAUGGGCGAAAGAAUGAUUGAUCCAUUCAAAAGAUUUCCUUUUAGCAAGUAACUUGCCACGGUUGAGAAAUUUUACAUGUCUAGAAUUUCCCUUGACCAACAAACGGUUGAUAUCAGAUACUCCUCUUACAUCAUAGGAGGAAAGAGGGACCAUCUUAAAAGCGUUUGGAAAAUUGGAUUCUUUCGUCCUUGUAAAUCGCUUGGCAUUUACUAUACUGUGCUUUGUCAUUGUCUCUGUGCUUGUGGUGUGCAUGGUAAACUAGACAAAUAGAAAGAAAAAAAGAUCAUACAAAACAGAGUGCAAGGCGAGGAUACGGCUCCUCCGCGCAAAGGAUCAUGGUUGGUAUGUUAGCAUAUUCAGUAACAAGCACAGUCACCCUCUGUCUGCAAAGUCGUCAAGAGACGAGGCAUUGGAAUUCACAUAGUGAGGUCAAUCCGGUUCGUAUGAAUUUCAUCAAGAAUCUCAGCGAGAAUAACGUCAGCCUCAGCAAGGUAUACAAUAUUAUCAAUGCAACACAUGAAGAUCAGACGGGUGCACCGUCCCAUAAGCAGAACUUAAGGUAUCUUUGCAGAAGGAUUGCUCAAGAUGCAAUAACAGAUGACAUGGAUAAGACUGUCAACUUUUAGAAGAUAUGAAGUCUGUUGAUCUGAACCUGUCAGUACACGUUGAAUUUGAUCAGGAAGGCUCCCCAGGUUUGUCUUGUGGCGCACAGUAAAGAACAAAUAGGAUUAUGUAUGAUGAAUGUACAAUGCACCCUAUCUUCACGUACAUCUAUAUUUUGUAGAGACCUAAUAUAUUUUGCUGAUCUUAAAGAUACGUUAUACUUCACUAGUACGCUAUGUGAACAGUCAGCAUAACCAGUGUAAUUGUUUUCGCCCAAUCAUUCCAUGAUCGCUAA